rnacentral:rRNA from 1 species
UGCAAGUCGAGCGGUAACAGAGAGUAGCUUGCUACUUUGCUGACGAGCGGCGGACGGGUGAGUAAUGCUUGGGAACAUGCCUUGAGGUGGGGGACAACAGUUGGAAACGACUGCUAAUACCGCAUAAUGUCUACGGACCAAAGGGGGCUUCGGCUCUCGCCUUUAGAUUGGCCCAAGUGGGAUUAGCUAGUUGGUGAGGUAAUGGCUCACCAAGGCGACAAUCCCUAGCUGGUUUGAGAGGAUGAUCAGCCACACUGGGACUGAGACACGGCCCAGACUCCUACGGGAGGCAGCAGUGGGGAAUAUUGCACAAUGGGCGCAAGCCUGAUGCAGCCAUGCCGCGUGUGUGAAGAAGGCCUUCGGGUUGUAAAGCACUUUCAGUCAGGAGGAAAGGUUAGUAGUUAAUACCUGCUAGCUGUGACGUUACUGACAGAAGAAGCACCGGCUAACUCCGUGCCAGCAGCCGCGGUAAUACGGAGGGUGCGAGCGUUAAUCGGAAUUACUGGGCGUAAAGCGUACGCAGGCGGUUUGUUAAGCGAGAUGUGAAAGCCCCGGGCUCAACCUGGGAACUGCAUUUCGAACUGGCAAACUAGAGUGUGAUAGAGGGUGGUAGAAUUUCAGGUGUAGCGGUGAAAUGCGUAGAGAUCUGAAGGAAUACCGAUGGCGAAGGCAGCCACCUGGGUCAACACUGACGCUCAUGUACGAAAGCGUGGGGAGCAAACAGAAUUAGAUACCCUGGUAGUCCACGCCGUAAACGAUGUCUACUAGAAGCUCGGAACCUCGGUUCUGUUUUUCAAAGCUAACGCAUUAAGUAGA